GUUUUAAUAUUUUUGGAUAGGAAAUGAAAAUACCAUCAAAUAAAUAUUCAUAUAUAUUCAAUUCAUAGGACAGAAUAAGAUUAUUGAUCGGAAAAUUGCCUAGUUUUUGAUAAUUUGUUUUAAUAAUUAUAUUUGAUAUAAAAUUUGAAAUGGUGUUUCGUAAUGCGUAAUCUAAAUAACAAUUUUACAUUCACUGAAUUAAAAUAUUUUAACAUAACUAAAAAGAAACUUGUUUGCAUCUGUACCAUCAUACUGAUGACACAUGGCCGCAGGUCAGGUCAAGGACACCCACGCGUUGUACAAGAUCUAACUUAUAACCGUAUUAUUUAUGAAAUCUCGACAUAUAUAACAUAUAUACGCAUAUUAAUACAAAAUAU
rnacentral:lncRNA from 1 species